UAAGAGGCUUUUAUAAAAGCCAUGUCUAAAUUUCUGAAAAUAUUAUU
rfam:Physcomitrella patens subsp. patens PHYPAscaffold_9 genomic scaffold, whole genome shotgun sequence.